rnacentral:rRNA from 1 species
CGGGAGGCAGCAGUUAGGAAUCUUCCGCAAUGGGCGCAAGCCUGACGGAGCGACGCCGCUUGGAGGAUGAAGCCCUUCGGGGUGUAAACUCCUGAACUGGGGGCGAAAUCCCUGAUGAGGGGGCUGACGGUACCCAGGUAAUAGCGCCGGCCAACUCCGUGCCAGCAGCCGCGGUAAUACGGAGGGCGCGAGCGUUACCCGGAUUUACUGGGCGUAAAGGGCGUGUAGGCGGAUUGGCGCGUCUGGCGUUAAAGACCGCGGCUCAGCCGUGGGGGUGCGCUGGAUACGGCCAAGCUAGACGGCUGGAGGGGGUGGUGGAAUUCCCGGAGUAGCGGUGAAAUGCGCAGAUACCGGGAGGAACGCCGAUAGCGAAGGCAGCCACCUGGCCAGUUUGUGACGCUGAGGCGCGAGAGCGUGGGGAGCAAACCGGAUUAGAUACCCGGGUAGUCCACGCCCUAAAC